GCUACCUUUCCAGGUCUGGGAUACAACCCCGGAACAAAGCAGACAAGGAGGACACAGGCCUCUCAGAACUGAUGUCCCCACCACAAUCCCCGGGAGGCAGGCAUCAGCCCCCACCCACUUCUCCCAUUUAUUUGUUUUGGAUUUUGGCUUUCUUUGAAGCAGGGUCUCCCUGUGUAGCUCAGGUUGGUCUGGAAGUUGACAGACUUGUAGACCCUAAGUGCUGAGAUGACCUGCAAGCACCAUCAGGCUGGCCUCUGAUUAGAUAAGGAUGCUGAGGAGGAUAGAAGCUCGCUGAGUGCUGAGACAUGACUUGAUUCCAGACCCACUAAUCUUCUCAGCAGGAGCAUCAGCUCAAGGAACUAUGGGAGGUGAAAAGAGACCACCAGUGAGGAGGGUGCCAGGUUCCAUCUGCAUCCCAGAUGCUGGCAGUGUCUGAGGAGAGGAGUCAGGGGCUGAGGUGGCCAGCUGUGGAAGGAUACUCUCUGAAGCCAGGCUGGGCUCUCCGUUGUCCUUGUUUGGAAUUCCCUUCUUGACGUAGAAGUUGUGAGUCACGGUCUCAGCCCUUGUCUCGAUUGCACAACCCACAGAGAUGAUUGCAGACACUGUCAUGCCUCAUGCUAGCACAGUUUCAAUAGUCAUGGUUCCCUUUCUCUGCCCCGGAUGUGAGGGAUUUCAUUUGGAAGGCUGGAGAGAACAAUUCAGGCUUCGGAUGAAAUACCUAGACACCCUGGGUGUUGGAGGAAGUGGUCCAGAACGUGCCCACUCAAGGGACCCGUUGCUAUCCAGCUCCAGUCUCCCUACCUUCACCAGUCCCAAGCCCUUCCAUAGAACUACUGGACUUGGAGGAGUUCAGCUUUAAAAAAAUCCCUGGACAAGAGUCACACUUUAGGGUUCCUCCCAAAGUGCAGGAACCAUGGGGAGAGGAGAGGAGAGGGGCCCUAGUUCUCCCAAGUUACAGAUGCGGGUCGUUCAUUGAGUCAGAGUCCAGCUGCCUCCUGAGGUCAUGAGAAAGAAGGCGAGGGCAAGCAAGGGGCACAGGAAGUGAAGCCGGCCAGCUGGGAGGCAGCAGCAGGCGUGGGUACUGUGGCCUCCUGGAUGGGCCAGUGACAUCACAACCCCAGGAAACAGCUGCCCAAAAGGCCCUCACUGUCCCUCAUUCCUCCUCUGGGAAAAUCAGC
rnacentral:lncRNA from 1 species